CUUCUAGCUUCAUCGCUGGUCAUCAGACAGCAAAACUGAAGGCAAACGCGGUCCCUAUGACAGUGAGGCCAGGAACUGCUGAGAGCCAAGUAACAGCCAGCCAGCCAGAUGAAAGAGAUGAAAGUGGUGCUGACACAGUUUCCCUGGAAAUGCUUGAAGCCAGUGCUGAGCAAGCAGAGCCCGCCGUCCCUUCUCCAGCUGUUCCACUGCCUG